rnacentral:rRNA from 1 species
GGGGGUGGCUUCCAUCUGGAAGAAUCUGGAGACAGGUGCUGCAUGGCUGUCGUCAGCUCGUGUCGUGAGAUGUUGGGUUAAGUCCCGCAACGAGCGCAACCCUUGCCUUUAGUUGCCAGCAGUUCGGCUGGGCACUCUAAAGGGACUGCCGGUGUUAAACCGGAGGAAGGUGGGGAUGACGUCAAGUCCUCAUGGCCUUUAUGACCAGGGCUACACACGUACUACAAUGGCCGAUACAAAGGGCAGCGACACUGCGAGGUGAAGCCAAUCCCGUAAAAUCGGUCUCAGUCCGGAUUGGAGUCUGCAACUCGACUCCAUGAAGUUGGAAUCGCUAGUAAUCGUGGAUCAGCAUGCCACGGUGAAUACGUUCCCGGGCCUU